rnacentral:misc_RNA from 1 species
GAUGAAGAACGCAGCGAAAUGCGAUACUUGGUGUGAGUUGCAGAAUCCCGUGAACCAUCGAGUCUUUGAACGCAAGUUGCGCCUCAAGCCAUUAGGUUGAGGGCACGUCUGCCUGGGCGUCACAUAUCGUUGCCUGAUGCCAGUUUCCUCGUGAUGGGUGACUGUGCAGGGCGAAUGAUGGCUUCCCGUGAGCAUUGUUGCCUCAUGGUUGGUUGAAAAUUGAGUCCUUGGUAGGGAGCGCCGUGAUAGAUGGUGGUUGAGUGACGAACGAGACCCAAUCAUGUGAGACCCCUACCGAAUUUGGCCUUCAUGACCCACAUGCGUCUUUGGAACGCUCAUGACGAGACCUCAGGUCAGGCGGGGCUACCCGCUGAGUUUAAGCAUAUCAAUAAGCGGAGGA